rnacentral:lncRNA from 1 species
GCAUUUGAGCUAAAGCAAGGGAAGCAUUUCCCCUUCCCCUGGCUGAAAGCUCAGCUGACCCCGAGGCUCUUCUGGUCAUGCUUAGGUACAGCUAUGACUCCAUCUUCAACCCCUAGAAAUCCAGCAUCCUCUUCCAACUUCUUUCUGCUGACAUCCCUUUGCCCUUCUCAGAGGCCCUACAGGACUUAAAAUGACCCCCACCUUGGCCCUCUCUCCUGCCAUGGUCCAUCUGAUCCACAUGUGGCCCAUGGGAAGAACUCACACAGCCCCUUCACUCAUCCUAAUGCAGUCCCUCCUGGCACAGUCCCAUGGGGGCCCACAGCUCCAAGUGGCUGCAUGGAAGCCCCCAUCACUAGGCUUGAGUUGAAAGCAGUAGGGCCCCUAACUCCUUGGUGGGGUAGCUUACAGCAUGGCUUUGCCCUUUCUGGAAGUUUCUAUUUCCAAACUCUCCCCAUUCUCCACACUCUAUAUUGUUGGUAGGCUGAGGGCCCUGAGUGCUAUGCAACUGGUUCCCCAUUAUUUCCUUUGUAAAUACUACAUAUGGGAGUCUGUCUCAUGUUCAGUUUGCUAUCUGAUGAUAUUGUGGUAGCCUGCUUCCACAAUGGCCCCUCAUUGUCCCCAUCUCCUGGUAUUCACAUCAUUGUGUCUCCUCCCUCCGUGAACAGGGCCGACCCUUGUAGCCACUUGCUAUUGCAGAGCUGAUGGCAUGCAUCUUCUGAGGCUAGGUCAUUGUUGUGUGUUUAAUGAUGUCCCCCAGAAGAUAUGUUGCAGCCCUAACCCCCAGGGCCUAUAAAUGUGACCUUUUCUGGAAAUAGUCUUCGCAGUUGUAAUCAAGGGUUGUUCUUGACUAGAGUGGGCCCUACAUCCAAUGACUGGUGUUCUCAUAAGGAGAGAGAGACAAAGAGUAG